rnacentral:rRNA from 1 species
UACAGAGGUCCCAAGCAUUGUUCGGAUUCACUGGGCGUAAAGGGUGCGUAGGUGGCGAGGUAAGUCGGAUGUGAAAGCUCGGAGCUCAACUCCGAAAUGGCAUUGGAAACUACCUGGCUUGAGGGUUGGAAGGGGGACUGGAAUUCUCGGUGUAGCAGUGAAAUGCGUAGAUAUCGGGAGGAACACCUGUGGCGAAGGCGGCCACCUGGACGGUAACUGACGCUGAGAAGCGAAAGCAUGGGGAGCGAACAGG